GGGAGAGACCCGCAGCGAUGUGACCCUCGGUGGACGCGUCGAGUUUAAACCAGGGUCAUGAGUGCCUCUAGGGAAGAGCCAGCGGAGAACGACCGAACCUGCCCAAAACCCUGCCCUGCCUGGGCCUUUCCCCGUCCCCUGACCCCAGCCUCCCACCAUGAGACCAUGCACCAGACCUUCUGUCUCCACUGCACAGGACCAAGCACCGGACAUCCUGUCUCCAUCACACAGGACCAAGCACCGGACCUCCUGUCUCCACGCACAGGACAGGACCAUGCACUGGACCUCCUGUCUCCACACACAGGACCAAGCGCCGGACCUGAGGUGACUGAGCCUUCUCCAUAGAUGCCCCCUCCCUCUGGAACUCCCUCCCCAAACACAUCAGAGACUGCACUGAACUGUCCACGUUCACAUCAUUAAUCAAGACUCGCCUUUUCACAAUUGCUUUUAAUGUGUGAUUAU